rnacentral:rRNA from 1 species
UUCGACCUACGGGGCGCAGCAGUGAGGAAUAUUGGUCAAUGGGCGCGAGCCUGAACCAGCCAAGUCGCGUGAGGGAGGACGGCCCUACGGGUUGUAAACCUCUUUUGCCGGGGAGCAACGGGCGUCACGUGUGGCGCCACUGAGAGUACCCGGAGAAAAAGCAUCGGCUAACUCCGUGCCAGCAGCCGCGGUAAUACGGAGGAUGCGAGCGUUAUCCGGAUUUACUGGGUGUAAAGGGAGCGUAGGUGGCAGGGCAAGUC